AUAUUUUUUAUAUUAUCAUUCUGUUUCAAAAAAGUGAGUGUUUUCUUCAAUAAUUACAAGUUGAACAAGAAGAAAAUGGUACUCAUAAUAAGAGCAAGAGAAUAAAAAAUCUCUACUCUGUGUUGACCUUGCAAGAAAAAAUCAAUGUUUGUGAUUUUAUCGGAUGUCAAGCCUAUUACUUUUUUUAGCAAGGGGUUAGCGGCAAGGCCUAUCCAGGAAUUUGACAUGACGAGUGUACUAUUACAAAAAUAUGCAUUUAAGAUAUAAAUUCGAUCAAUUUGACAUUUUAGGUUUUAUUCACUACUGGAGUCAUUUAUUAUAUGUUAUACCAUCUAAUAUUACUAAUUUUAAUAAGCACAGGUUUGAUAUAAUUAUAUAAAAAAUUACAAUAGUAAAAAAAUAGGAGGAAUUUCCAAAGUGACAAACUUAAAAAUUAUGAAAGAUUAAAGUUAUAUAUUAAAGUUAUAUAUAUAUAUAUACGUCUAGUGAAUUCACUCACAUUAUUUGAUACGUCUAAUAAAUUCACUCACCUAUAUUUAUUUAUUUUAAAAAUAUAUAGUACAAUUUCAUAAGAAAAGUAUGAGUUCACGCGAAUGAUCCACUCUUGCAUACGCCUCCGGUUAGAGGUUAAAAUCAAAGCUUUAUCUGCGUAUGACUGUGAAGCCAAGUUGAUCUCUUAUUUCCAUGCUAAUUCUAUUGGUGGUUAUGUUGGCGUUUAUGCUAUAAGUUCUAUUAGAAGAGAAUGAAACAAGAUGUUUAAUAUUUGUCAGAGGUGCAAGGGUGAAAUGUGAUAUUGUAAUGAUUAAGAAAAUUAUUUUUGAAAAUUUACAUAAAAUUAUUAUUUUAUCCCUCCUUAUAUUGACCUCAAGCUAAUGUUGAUUGAAUUUUGAUAACUGCUUCGAGUUUUAAAUAAAAAUUGUGAAUAAUGUAAGUUUUUUUGUGUUUGAAAAGGCUAAAAUUAUUUUUAAAUGAUUUUUGGUAUCUUUUGAAUUUUUGAAUAUCAUAGUAGAAUGUUAUAGAUUCAAUUCGGCGCAAAAUAUGAAAAUUAGUCUAAGAGAGUUGCAUAUUUCAGAGUUGGAGUCUUUUUGAGGAUUUGAAGUUCAAAAUUAGAAGUUUUAGCCUUCGAAAUAACUUUUGACAACGUUUGAGGUUCAAAUGCUAAGAUUGAAUUUAUGAAAGUUUCAUUAGAUUCGGGGGAUGAUUUUUGGCCUAAAGAAAAUAUUGAUGGAAUUUUCAGAUCUCCCGAUCUUGUUUUUACCUUUAGGUGUUGGUUCAUUUUUUGUGACUAUUACAUAUGUCGGGUCAAGAAGACGUUGGAUUCUUUUGAGUCUUAAAUGUUGAUUUUAGUUAGGUUGCAUAUAUGAUUUAUGUGUAUGAGGUUUUGAACUAAUCUUGAGGGUUUAUUUGAUGAUUUUGUUGUUGGUUGA